GUCUAUGGCCAUACUACCCUGAACAAGCCUGAUCCCGUCUGAUUUCAGAAGCUAAGCAGGGUCAGGCCUGGUUAGUACCUAGGAAGACCAGGUGCUGUAGGCG
rnacentral:rRNA from 1 species